CAAUAGCGUAUAUUAAAGUUGUUGCGGUUAAAAAGCUCGUAGUUGGAGUUCUGCCAGGUGCCGCCUGUCCGCCCCAGUGGUGAGUACGUGGCGCGCAUUUGGCCCUUUCAAGGGGAGCGUAUUGCACUUAACUGUGUGGUGCGGGAUCCUUGACUUUUACUUUGAGGAAAUAAGAGUGUUCCAAGCAGGCUCUCGUCGUGCAUAGCUCAGCAUGGAAUAAUAGCAUUGGAUCUCGAUUCCAAACUGUUGGUUGUAGGAAACGAGAUAAUGAUGAAGAGGGAUAGUUGGGGGCAUUCGUAUUACGGUGUUAGAGGUGAAAUUCUUGGAUCGCCGUAAGACGAACUACUGCGAAAGCAUUUGCCAAGGAUGUUUUCAUUAGUCAAGAACGAAAGUCAGAGGUUCGAAGAUGAUCAGAU
rnacentral:rRNA from 1 species